rnacentral:rRNA from 1 species
AUGGGGUACCACCGCCAUAGGCGCGGGCGUGGAUCCUCGUCGUCGUCCUCCUCCUCCUCUUCGCGCCGCACCAAGCAAGAAGCCUCGUGCGAUGAUGCUCCUGGGACAUCACUUCCAAGGCAGGAAGACAACGCCGAAGAGGAAUCUAAUAGCCCAAAAAUUCAGCUUGCAAUGUGGGACUUUGGGCAGUGCGAUGCUAAAAGAUGCACUGGUCGUAAGCUUUCAAGAUUUGGGCUGUUAAAGGAGUUGCGAGUUACUAAUGGUUUUGGUGGCGUUGUUCUCAGCCCUGUUGGGACACAUUGUGUGUCCAAGGAAGAUCAUCCUAUCGUGCAACGAAAAGGAUUGGCUGUGGUUGAUUGUUCUUGGGCACGUUUAGAUGAUGUCCCUUUUGUGAAACUCCGUUGUGGUGCUCCUCGUCUCUUGCCAUGGUUGGUAGCAGCAAACCCUGUGAAUUAUGGCCGGCCAUGUCAGCUUUCCUGUGUGGAAGCUUUGUCAGCAGCCCUCAUAAUAUGUGGGGAGGAAGAGACAGGAGAACUGCUGCUUGCGAAAUUCAAGUGGGGUCACUCAUUCUUAUCACUUAACAGGGAUCUGCUGAAAGCAUACUCCAAGUGCGAAAAUGGCACCGAGAUAAUCAACGUGCAGAACUCUUGGCUGUCAAGUGCAUCGAGUGUUUCAAAGUCACCUGUAAACGUGGCAGAUAAACCACACCGAAGCACAGAGGAAGGAUCAGAUUCUGAAUCUGACGAUGGCUUGCCCCCUCUGGAAGAGAACAUGAACCACUUGGACCUCAGCGAGGGCGAAGAAAGCGAAGAGGAAAGUGAAACUGAAAACGAAGGGAUUACCGACGCAAAAUGA